rnacentral:hammerhead_ribozyme from 1 species
GGACUUAUUAGGAGUCCCACAAUAGGACGAAACGGCCGUCCAGUGC